AUGGCGGAGGAACCGUCCGCCAAGCGUCACCAUGGCGAGACGUCGAACAAGAGCAGCAACCUCGUCGACAUUCACGUCCCCGGCGAGAAGCGAGAGUACACCAAAAUGCUCGAAGGGGUUGAGGUCCACGGCAAGGAGACACUGGAGAUCGUCUGCACCAGCUUACCAGACAAGGCCGACGAGGUGAUGAGCAGGCUCAGGAUGAAGGGCGGCGGCUUGUAUCCGAGCUUCAUCGGAGUUGAUGUGGAGCCCAAGCGCCUCAAAGACUUCCUGCAGGAGGAGAAAUUGUACACAUUUGUCGGUUUCAGCAUUGGAAGUGACAAGCGGAUGCUGAAGAAGUCUGGUUUGGAAAUCAACCCCAACAAUUUCAUCGACAUGCAGCGCAAGUGGAAAGAUCCAAAGACCACCAAAUACUAUGACUCCUUGGCCGAUGUUGCAGGCGGCGUCAUCCACCCAUUCUACGAAGGCAUGAAGAAGAAGAUGGAUAGGGCAGACCACAAACUGUGGGGGACCAGCCCGCUGCCAGACAACCUCAUCACGUACGCAGGAAUAGAUUCAUAUGCAAUGUACAAGUCAUGGAAGACAAUCGACAACAUCGUGACAGGUUGGGAUAUUUCAAAAGAUCAGGAGGCUGACCCCUACUACCACUGCAACUUCGCGGAUGAAGAUGCAUGA
rnacentral:rRNA from 1 species